GAUGAACGCUGGCGGCGUGCUUAACACAUGCAAGUCGAACGAAGCGAUUUGAAUGAAGUUUUCGGAUGGAUUUUAAAUUGACUGAGUGGCGGACGGGUGAGUAACGCGUGGGUAACCUGCCCCAUACAGGGGGAUAACAGUUAGAAAUGACUGCUAAUACCGCAUAAGACCACAGCGCCGCAUGGUGCAGGGGUAAAAACUCCGGUGGUAUGGGAUGGACCCGCGUCUGAUUAGCUAGUUGGCGGGGUAACGGCCCACCAAGGCGACGAUCAGUAGCCGACCUGAGAGGGUGACCGGCCACAUUGGGACUGGGACACGGCCCAAACUCCUACGGGAGGCAGCAGUGGGGAAUAUUGCACAAUGGGGGAAACCCUGAUGCAGCGACGCCGCGUGAGUGAUGAAGUAUUUCGGUAUGUAAAGCUCUAUCAGCAGG
rnacentral:rRNA from 1 species